rnacentral:rRNA from 1 species
CCUACGGGUGGCUGCAGUGGGGAAUAUUGGACAAUGGGGGCAACCCUGAUCCAGCCAUGCCGCGUGUGUGAAGAAGGCCCUAGGGUUGUAAAGCACUUUCAUUGAGGAGGAAGGCCAUUUGGUUAAUACCCAAGUGGAUUGACGUUACUCAAAGAAGAAGGACCGGCUAACUCCGUGCCAGCAGCCGCGGUAAUACGGAGGGUCCGAGCGUUAAUCGGAAUUACUGGGCGUAAAGCGCGCGUAGGCGGUUAGUUUAGCGAGAUGUGAAAUACCUGGGCUCAACCUGGGAAUUGCGUUUCGAACUGGCUAACUAGAGUGCAGUAGAGGGUGGUGGAAUUUCCAGUGUAGCGGUGAAAUGCGUAGAGAUUGGAAGGAACAUCAGUGGCGAAGGCGACUGCCUGGACUGACACUGACGCUGAGGUGCGAAAGCGUGGGGAGCAAACAGGAUUAGAUACCCGAGUAGUC